rnacentral:rRNA from 1 species
GACGAACGCUGGCGGCGUGCCUAAUACAUGCAAGUCGAGCGAAUGAUGAGGAGCUUGCUCCUCUGAUUUAGCGGCGGACGGGUGAGUAACACGUGGGCAACCUGCCCUGUAGACUGGGAUAACUUCGGGAAACCGGAGCUAAUACCGGAUAAUUCUUUUAGCCUCAUGGCUUUAAGCUAAAAGGCGCUUCGGUGUCACUACAGGAUGGGCCCGCGGUGCAUUAGCUAGUUGGUGGGGUAACGGCCUACCAAGGCAACGAUGCAUAGCCGACCUGAGAGGGUGAUCGGCCACAGUGGGACUAGGACACGGCCCAAACUCCUACGGGAGGCAGCAGUAGGGAAUCUUCCACAAUGGACGAAAGUCUGAUGUAGCAACGCCGCGUGAGUGAUGAAGGUUUUCGGAUCGUAAAACUCUGUUGUAAGGGAAGAACAAGUGCGUUAGGUAAUGAACGCACCUUGACGGUACCUUAUUAGAAAGCCACGGCUAACUACGUGCCAGCAGCCGCAGUAA